rnacentral:misc_RNA from 1 species
UUUCCGUAGGUGAACCUGCGGAAGGAUCAUUAUCGUGGGGCUUCGGCCCUAUCGAGAUAGAAACCUUGCCUUUAUAGUACCUUCUGUUGCCUCGGCGUACGCUUCACCGCUGCGCCAAUGAGGCCAAACAAAAACCCUUUUUCUUAUCAUGAAUUAGUCUGAAAAACAAACAAAAGUUAAAACUUUCAACAACGGAUCUCUUGGUUCUG